UACGGAGGGUGCAAGCGUUGUUCGGAAUCACUGGGCGUAAAGCGCGUGUAGGCGGUCCGCUAAGUCUGAUGUGAAAGCCCGGGGCUCACCCCCGGAAGGGCAUUGGAAACUGGCGGACUCGAGUCCCGGAGAGGAGGGUGGAAUUCCUGGUGUAGCGGUGAAAUGCGUAGAUAUCAGGAGGAACACCGGUGGCGAAGGCGGCCCUCUGGACGGUGACUGACGCUGAGACGCGAAAGCGUGGGGAGCAAACAGG
rnacentral:rRNA from 1 species